rnacentral:rRNA from 1 species
AGUGAACGCUGGCGGUAGGCCUAACACAUGCAAGUCGAACGGCAGCACAGGAGAGCUUGCUCUCUGGGUGGCGAGUGGCGGACGGGUGAGGAAUACAUCGGAAUCUACUCUGUCGUGGGGGAUAACGUAGGGAAACUUACGCUAAUACCGCAUACGACCUACGGGUGAAAGCAGGGGAUCUUCGGACCUUGCGCGAUUGAAUGAGCCGAUGUCGGAUUAGCUAGUUGGCGGGGUAAAGGCCCACCAAGGCGACGAUCCGUAGCUGGUCUGAGAGGAGUAUCAGCCACACUGGAACUGAGACACGGUCCAGACUCCUACGGGAGGCAGCAGUGGGGAAUAUUGGACAAUGGGCGCAAGCCUGAUCCAGCCAUACCGCGUGGGUGAAGAAGGCCUUCGGGUUGUAAAGCCCUUUUGUUAGGAAAGAAAUCCAGCUGGCUAAUACCCGGUUGGGAUGACGGUACCCAAAGAAUAGGCACCGGCUAACUUCGUGCCAGCAGCCGCAGUAA